GGAGGGCACAGAGAAAGGGAGAGAGAGAAUUCCAAGUAAGCUGCACUGUCAGCACAGAGCCCCAUUUGGAGCUCAAGCUCACCAACCAUCAGAUCACGACCUGAGCUGAAACCAAGAGUUGGAUACUAAACC